CAGCAGCCGCGGUAAUACGAAGGGGGCUAGCGUUGCUCGGAAUCACUGGGCGUAAAGGGUGCGUAGGCGGGUCUUUAAGUCAGGGGUGAAAUCCUGGAGCUCAACUCCAGAACUGCCUUUGAUACUGAAGAUCUUGAGUUCGGGAGAGGUGAGUGGAACUGCGAGUGUAGAGGUGAAAUUCGUAGAUAUUCGCAAGAACACCAGUGGCGAAGGCGGCUCACUGGCCCGAUACUGACGCUGAGGCACGAAAGCGUGGGGAGCAAAUGGGAUUAGAUACCCCUGUAGUCCCUGUCUCUUAUAC
rnacentral:rRNA from 1 species